AGUGAACGCUGGCGGUAGGCCUAAUACAUGCAAGUCGAGCGACAGCACAGGAAGAGUUUGCUCUUACGGGUGGCGAGGGGCGGGCGGGUGAGAAAUAGAUCGGAAUCUACUUUGACGUGGGGGAUAACGGGGGGACACUUACGCUAAUACAGCAUACGACCUACGGGUGAAAGCAGUAGAUCUUCGGACCUUUCCUGAUUGAAUUAGCCGAUGUCGGAUUAGCUAGUUGGGUGGGUAACGGCCCACCAAGGCGACGAUACGUAGCUGGUCUGAGAGGAUGAUCGGCCACACUGGAACUGAGACACGGUCCAGACUCCUACGGGAGGCAGCAGUGGGGAAUAUUGGGCAAUGGGCGCAAGCCUGAUCCAGCCACGCCGCGUGGGUGAAGAAGGUCUUCGGGUUGUAAAGCUCUUUUGUUGGGAAAGAACAGCUGCAGGUUAAACUCCCGCUGUUCUGACGGUACCCAAUCAGUAAGCAACGGCUAACUUCGUG
rnacentral:rRNA from 1 species